GACGUAGGGCGCGAGCGUUUGUCCGGAUUUAUUGGGCGUAAAGAGCUCGUAGGCGGUCUGUCGCGUCUGCUGUGAAAACUCGGGGCUUAACCCCGGGCCUGCAGUGGGUACGGGCAGACUAGAGUGCGGUAGGGGAGACUGGAAUUCCUGGUGUAGCGGUGAAAUGCGCAGAUAUCAGGAGGAACACCGGUGGCGAAGGCGGGUCUCUGGGCCGAUAUUGACGCUGAGGAGCGAAAGCGUGGGGAGCAAACAGG
rnacentral:rRNA from 1 species